rnacentral:lncRNA from 1 species
GGAUGUUUGAAGGCACGGCCAUAGUGUCUUUAUGUGUAGGGUCAUGAAAAAAAGAUCCUCCAUACUAAAUAACCUAAUACUUGUGAAUCAAGAUAAUGACACAUUCUAUGUACCUGCUUAGACCCUUAACUGGGCUCUGCUUCUUGGCCUUCCCAGAAUGUGACAGAACACUUGGAACCAGCUUUAAUCCUCAGUGUCUGUGACAAAUAAGAAAGGCACAUGACAGUGACUCUAACAUUUUGUCUUACAGGGAAGAAGAGGAUGAAAAUGUGUCUUACGUGCCAAUUGUUCCUGAGGCCUUUACGCACAAUUUGCAGCCUCACAGAAAAGCAUCACUAGCAUUCCAGAUUGCAAAGAAAGAAUGUGAAAAUAAACAUCUUUCUGCAGCUCUGACUGCAAAGAAGCAAGAAUUUAAAGAAAAGAUGGAAGCACUGGUCCAACGAAGAGGUGAACUUAACCAAAAAGAUUUAAAUAACAGGGCUGAAGCUCUUGAUUUUGAUAUAUAUAUAAAAGCAUGUGAACGUAAGAAGAAGCGUGCAUGUCAGAAAUACCAGCGUGAACGAAAACACAAUGCCACAAAGGGGCAACAGUUGUUGGAGCUGAAAACAGAACUUAAAAAGCUGAAAGUUAGACUGCAGCAACUGCAGAAUAAGAUGGCAAAAUACCAAAAAUAUGAAGAUCUGUUGAAGAAAAUUGUCGACAUAUUGCCACCUAGUGAGUGUAGUCAUUAAAUAAUUGCCUA